GACGAACGCUGGCGGCGUGCUUAACACAUGCAAGUCGAGCGGUAAGGCCCUUCGGGUACACGAGCGGCGAACGGGUGAGUAACACGUGGGUGACCUGCCUCUAGCUCUGGGAUAAGCCUGGGAAACUGGGGUCUAAUACCGGAUAUGACUCCACGGCGCAUGUUGUGGGGUGGAAAGCCUUGUGUGGCUAGAGAUGGGCCCGCGGCCUAUCAGCUUGUUGGUGGGGUGAUGGCCUACCAAGGCGACGACGGGUAGCCGGCCUGAGAGGGCGACCGGCCACACUGGGACUGAGACACGGCCCAGACUCCUACGGGAGGCAGCAGUGGGGAAUCUUGCGCAAUGGGCGAAAGCCUGACGCAGCGA
rnacentral:rRNA from 1 species